rnacentral:rRNA from 1 species
AUGUUACGUGCGGGUGAAUUGAGGGCGCGGAUGAACUUUAUUAUAAAGGUUGCACAAUGCAUUGGGUGGACAGGCUCAAUGCUUCGUCUGCAGGCUACCCUGACAAUGAUUGUUUCGUUGUCGACCGGGUGCGGUUUCAGCAUCGUUUCUUGCUACUACAGGAUCAAAGUCGUUGUAGGCUGGGAGGCAAUAAAUACUAUCAGGCCCGUUCAUGGUGUGUUGGGUUCGGCCCAGUUACAAGACAGAGGCAGAGGAGAUGAAUACAAGAAGUCGAGAAGACACCCUUCUCUCUGUUUCUAAAUUACAGAGUACCUCGCCUCCUCGCUGCCCGCCGGGGGCGCCUGGUUCAGGGCCGCCCUCGCCUGCUGCGGCUAUGUCCUGCUGGCGCAGCUCGCCGCGCUGGGGUACGAGGCCGUGGCGGCGGCGACGCCCGUCGAGGCCGAGGCGCUGCUGCUGCCGGCCGUGCAGGCGCUGGCCUGGGCAGCGCUGCUGGCGCUCGCGCUGCGGGCGCGUGCCGGCGGCUGGGGCAGGUCCCCGGCGCUCGUCCCGGUCUGGUGGGUGCUCUCCUCACUCCCCGCCGAGAUGCUUGAUUGGUGAUCCCAGCUCUUCGUGCUCGCCUCGCCCCGCUCCGCCGUGUCAGCCAACCGAUGGAAGAUGGAGUAGGGAUCGGGAGAGGAACAAGGAGUAAGAGGAGACCACUUGCUGGUGGCUAGAGAACCACAUCCCCAGCGCCAUGCUCCUGAGUCCGCUUCUACUGCCUCCAGUCGGAAUACCUACCUACAACAGCAAGGCUCUUUCAUUUCAUAUAUGGACGGCAAGGGCGUCUUCAGCAGCGUCUAAACAGGAUUCGACUGCCCACUCGAUGCCAAGGGAGAUGCAUCGCUGUCGCCGUCAAGGGACUCAACCAGCGCGGCCUCCAGAGAUUCACUUAAUUUGGUAUAAAAACAAUAUAGCCACCGCCAUGUCGAUGAACUCUGAAGCUGAAUUUUUUUUGUGGUUUCAUAUUUUAUUUGGAAGAAUGUCUGGGACCAACUAUCAUUUAAAACACGAAGAAUAUGGUGUUCAUGUUAUUUCUUCGCUUCUUUUUGGUGUUGUGCUGCCCUGUUGAGAGCCGACAGGAAGAAUAGGAAGCAGAGUCCGUAGGUCAUGGCUUUGUGCAGCUAGCCAGCAUGAAUAAUCGUG